CGUUGACUUUCCUGGCUGCCGCCAUGCUAGCAAGCACGGCCACUGCGACGUCUUCUCUGGUGCUACCGGCAAGCAGCCGACCACAGCACUGCCAUGCCUCCGAUGCUCCAUGGUAGCCGGCCCUACAUCUCCACUCAGAAAGGAAAAUGCUGGAGCCAAUGGAUGUUUAGUGGGACUACGUUCUGAUUUGACAAAGCUAAAGGAAGCAUAUAUCACAAAUUUCUAUCGGAAAGAGAAUAUGGGGAUGGUGUUUCAUUCUUGGCCAGCUGCGGUUGCUGGCAGUGGAGGAGCAGCAGCGGCCGAUGGCGGCGGACCAGAUCGGCGUAUCAUGGGAGCGGCCACGACGGCCGUCACGAGUGGAGCAGAGCCAAGUUGGCGCGGCGGCCGGGCGCGAUCUGGAGAACCUAUGAGUGUGGUGCGCUAUCGAGGCAGUCGCGACUUGCGCGAGUUGGAGGCGAGGUGACGGUGUUGACUGGGACGCCGUCGCAGAUCCUCAUCGUGCCGGCGGGCGAGGAGCUCGUUGAGGAUCUCCUCUUCUCCAGGGAUCCACGACGGAGGUGCUCGAGGAGGAAGUUCUUCUCGGAUGCCAUGGAAAUUGUCAAGUGAUGAUUUUUGCAGAAGCACAUGCUGAUGGUGCCCUUGCCUUUGGGAUUAAAGAAGACCAGCUUACAACACUGACCAGAGAUCAUAAAUACUCUACUCUGCAGCAGUAUGAAUGGGGCUAGCAAAUAUGUUAAAGACAAAUACAGAGAAGUGGGUCAGGGGAGUGGCUUCCAAUAUUGAUGCGAGAAAAAAAUGCCUUUUGGUCGAACACAUACCCCUGUAAGAAAGGAAGAAGCUCCUUGGUAAUGGAGAUGCUAUGUCAGACUCUGACUGGCACACAAAACUUUGAAAUGAGCAAAAUCAUCUCAUAUCCAGUGAUUUGCCAUGGUUUAUGAUAGAUUGCUAUGAAGAAUGUCGAGACCCACCACGACUUUACCUUCUCGACAGAUUUGAUAAUGCUGGUGUUGGGACUUGUUUGAAGAGAUAUUCUGAUCCAUCAUACUUCAAGAAAUCAUUGGAUGUGAUGAGAGCAGACAAGACUGCACAUCUCCAAAAAGAAAGGAGAUCUCACAAAAUCAAGGAUUCGCGGUUGAUUUCAGGGGAGAUCACUAUUGUGAGGAAAUCAAGAAGUUGAGAGUUGGCUGGACUAUGUGAGGAAGCGGGUUCAGGAGCUCAAAGCCAACAACAACCAGGGCUUGGCAAAAGAUUCCUUACAAGCACUUAAGAAGAUAUCCCAGGAGUGUCCAACUGCCUGCUUGAGGGCUGACGCACUAAUUGCAGUGCCGUCAUAUCUUGACUUCUUCUCCAUCGGUGUUCAAGAAGCUUCCUUGAGACGCCUCAGAUUUCGUAAUGGAAGCGGUUCAACUGCUAACAAAUUUUCUCAACUACCAUGAUGCAAAAGUGUUGGAACAUGUUUCCAUUUGCCUGACUCGUAUAGCAGAAUCGUUUGCUUCGUCUUCAAGGAAACUGGAUCAAUUUUGCAAGCAUGGAUUGGUUGCACAAGCGGCUAGCUUAAUAGCUGUUAGCAGCGGGACAAGCAUCACUGAGUACAUUAACAUAUACUUCCUCCGUUCCUAAAUAUUUGUCUUUUUAGAGAUUUCAAAUGGAAUACCACAUACGGAUGUAUAUAGACAUAUUUUAGAGUGUAGAUUCACUCAUUUUACUCCGUAUGUAGUCACUUAUUGAAAUCUCUAGAAAGACAAAUAUUUAGGAACGGAGGGAGUACAUUAUGCUUCUAUUUCACUCUUUAUUGCUACUGUAUCAUUUAUGCAAAUUUGCUAACUCUGGCUCAUAUAUCCUUGAAGGGAGUAAUUCGUGUUUUGUCAAUAUGUGCAGGUGGAUCUCCAUUGGCAGCUAAAAUACUCCAUGGAAUUAGCGGCACACUUAAAGUUAUCCUUGCGGGUGCUGGACGCUGAGGACCAGGAAGUGGUGGAACUGUCAGUCCGUCCACGUUCUAAAGCUGUAUUUGUUUGUAUUUGUGCACACCGUAAAAUAGCUAAGUUGCAGGUUGUUAGGAGUACUGUGCUGCAGUUCCACUUAUAUGGAAAGAGACGAUAUUCAUUUUCA